CUCGGCGACGGCGUUCUCUACAAAUUGGGUUUUCACUCGACUGCAACCGUCUGCCUCCUUGUAGUGCCGUCUUCACGAGGUGACGACAUCCUACGGGCCUCUCACGACGAGCCAUCAUCGGGCCACUUGAGAUUCGCACGGUCGUUUGUACGCAUACGCUAAAAGUACUUCUGGCCUAACCGUCGCCGUGAUGUGAAGCAAUACGUGAACCCAUGCCGCGACAGCCAGAGAUGCAAGGCACCACCCGUGCGUCCCGCUGGACUUCUCCAUCCCAUGGAUCCUCCGCGGAUUCCUUUUCAGCAGGUUGGCAUCGAUUUGCUUGGACCAUUCCCCACGUCGAGGGCUGCUCGCCGUUGGUUUUAUCUUUUGCCUCGCCGUCUCGACGGUCCUCGCCAAUGGUAUUGGCGGAGGCGUGGGAGGCGGCAUUGGUUUGGGCCCCAGUGGUGGCCUCGGAUAUGGAGGUGGCCUUGGUGGUGACUACAGCGGUGGCCUUGGCGGCGGGGACGGUGGCGGCUACGGUGGCUCUGACGCUGGUUCCUAUGAUGGAAAUUACGGAGGAUUCCGUGGCGGUCAGUUCGGUUGAUAUGGCCUGAGGUGUAACAUCGCUGCGAACGACAACGCAAGGAAAAGAUAUUUAAACUGUACAAAACAUGUACUUAGAUCGGAAUAAACAACUUCCAC